rnacentral:misc_RNA from 1 species
UCAAUAAAAAUAAGUGUUUUAUGGCACUUUUUAAAUCCAUAUCCACCUUGUGUGCAAUGUCAGUCGAUCUUCUUCAUGGAGAUCGACCAAACAUCAACCUUUAUCUUUUAACUCUUUGUCUGAAAAAUAUUAUGAAUAAACAAUUCAAAAUA